GCAAACUUGGUCAUUUAGAGGAAGUAAAAGUCGUAACAAGGUUUCCGUAGGUGAACCUUCGGAAGGAUCAUUACUGAGUUUUGGAAGCUGGGGGUCCGCCCCUGGCUGCCCGCUCUCUCAUGUCCAAUGUUUAUGGCACUCUUGGUAUGCUUCGGUGUGACCAGACGUCCUGUCGGCAGGGCCCCACCGGUCUUGCUCGUGUCUGCCGAUGGCCUAUUUAACCUCAAAUCUUCUGGAUCAACGUCUGAAAUAUGAUUGUGUAAAUACAAAUUAAAAAGCAAAACUUUCAACAACGGAUCUCUUGGUUCUGGCAUCGAUGAAGAACGCAGC
rnacentral:misc_RNA from 1 species